AACAUGCCUUCGCGGCUCCUUGAGUGAAUCAUAAUAACUUAACGAAUCGCAUGGCCUUGCGCCGGCGAUGGUCAAAUUUCUGCCCUAUCAACUUUCGAUGGUAGGAUAGUGGCCUACCAUGGUAUCAACGGGUAACGGGGAAUUAGGGUUCGACUCCGGAGAGGGAGCCUGAGAAACGGCUACCACAUCCAAGGAAGGCAGCAGGCGCGCAAAUUACCCAAUCCCGACACGGGGAGGUAGUGACAAUAAAUACUGAUACAGGGGCUCUUUUGGGUCUUGUAAUUGGAAUGAGUACAAUUUAAAUCCCUUAACGAGGAACAAUUGGAGGGCAAGUCUGGUGCCAGCAGCCGCGGUAAUUCCAGCUCCAAUAGCGUAUAUUAAAGUUGUUGCAGUUAAAAAGCUCGUAGUUGAACCUUGGGCCUGGCUGGCCGGUCCGCCUCACCGCGUGUACUGGUCCGGCCGGGCCUUUCCUUCUGGGGAACCUCAUGCCCUUCACUGGGCGUGUUGGGGAACC
rnacentral:rRNA from 1 species